rnacentral:rRNA from 1 species
UAUUACCGCGGCUGCUGGCACGUAGUUAGCCGUCCCUUUCUGGUAAGCUACCGUCACAGUGUGAACUUUCCACUCUCACACCCGUUCUUGACUUACAACAGAGCUUUACGAUCCGAAAACCUUCUUCACUCACGCGGCGUUGCUCGGUCAGGGUUGCCCCCAUUGCCGAAGAUUCCCUACUGCUGCCUCCCGUAGGAGU